AUUGAACGCUGGCGGCAGGCCUAACACAUGCAAGUCGAGCGGAUGAAGGGAGCUUGCUCCUGGAUUCAGCGGCGGACGGGUGAGUAAUGCCUAGGAAUCUGCCUGGUAGUGGGGGAUAACGUCCGGAAAUGGGCGCUAAUACCGCAUACGUCCUGAGGGAGAAAGUGGGGGAUCUUCGGACCUCACGCUAUCAGAUGAGCCUAGGUCGGAUUAGCUAGUUGGUGGGGUAAAGGCCUACCAAGGCGACGAUCCGUAACUGGUCUGAGAGGAUGAUCAGUCACGCUGGAACUGGAACACGGUCCAGACUCCUGCGAGAGGCAGCAGUGGGGAAUAUUGAACGGUGGGCGAAAGCCUGAACCAUCCAUGCCGCGUGUGUGAAGGAGGUCUUCGGAUUGUAAAACACUUUAAGUUGGGAGGAAGGGCAGUAAGUUAAUACCUUGCUGUUUUGACGUUACCAACAGGAUAAGCACCGGCUAACUUCGUG
rnacentral:rRNA from 1 species